rnacentral:rRNA from 1 species
CAAUCACUUGUCUUUUAAUUAAAGACCCGUAUGAAAGGCUCGACGAGGGCUUAACUGUCUCCUUUCUCCAGUCAAUGAACUUGAUCUCCCCGUGCAGAAGCGGGGAUUAGAACAUAAGACGAGAAGACCCUGUGGAGCUUAAGACCUAAAGGCAGACUAUGUUUAGCACUUUAAGAUAAUAACCAAACAAUAUUUAUUGCCCUCCCGUCUUCGGUUGGGGUGACCUCGGGGAAUAACAAAACCCCCGUGAAGAACGAGAAUACCUUUUCUUGCAAAUAAGACCCGCCAGUCUGAUUAACAGAACACCUGACUUGAACAAUGAAUGAUCCGGCCCACGCCGAUUAACGAACCAAGUUACCCCAGGGAUAACAGCGCAAUCCUUUUUUAGAGCCCC